GUGUUAUAUGAAAGCGGAGAAGGUUAGCACUCUACAAGGAUGGAAUAGCUUCUGGACCUAAAUACAUAUAUCGUAAAGGUACUGCCGUCUCCUCUGCGGAAAAUUAAUUAAAUUUU
rnacentral:ncRNA from 1 species